UAUCCAUCCUAUCUUGCAGCUCUUUCGACGUUUUUACCCCCGCAACAUCGUCCACGGAGGGGAAUACUGCUACGAUUUCUAUAUAUACACGAACGACUAAUAUCUCAACCGCAAACUGAAACGUUACGAAAAAAACACGAUUCAAUGAGAAUGACUCAAACCCUCAUUGUCGAACCGGGGACUCGUCUACGAGGGGAGGAUGGAAACGAAUAAAAAUGAAAAAGAUCGAACGAAACUUUAGAAAGGAAUUUCAACAUCGAAAAAUUUAAUCGAGCGGGGCAGAGCCUUAAUUUUAUCAUCGAGGAUUCGACCUACUAAAAGUGAAAAAUAAAAAAAGAAAUGAGAGGGAGGAAGAUUAAAACGCGUCGUUACCUUCGCGAGCGACUUUGGAAUAACGGACCGUAUAUGGUAUCAGCUGAGCUCUUGGGGAAAAAUACACUAUCACGAGAAGGAGAGAGAUUCGAGUUACAAACACAAGGGCAGGCAAGCGCACACACGAGUGGGAGAUGAGUUGCAAAGCGGCGGGAAAAAAUGGCUUCUCGCCCGAUUCGCAUAAACUCGAUGAAAAUGGUUAAAUAGGACUGUGCGUACGAUCGUAUGUGUACCGGUAAGUGCGAAU